rnacentral:rRNA from 1 species
AGAUUAAGUUAUUAAGGGCGCACGGUGGAUGCCUUGGCACUAGAAGCCGAUGAAGGACGUUACUAACGACGAUAUGCUUUGGGGAGCUGUAAGUAAGCGUUGAUCCAGAGAUUUCCGAAUGGGGAAACCCAGCAUGAGUUAUGUCAUGUUAUCGAUAUGUGAAUACAUAGCAUAUCAGAAGGCAGACCCGGAGAACUGAAACAUCUUAGUACCCGGAGGAAGAGAAAGAAAAAUCGAUUCCCUGAGUAGCGGCGAGCGAAACGGGAAGAGCCCAAACCAACAAGCUUGCUUGUUGGGGUUGUAGGACACUCUAUACGGAGUUACAAAAGUAUAUAUUAGACGAAUCAUCUGGAAAGUUGAAUCAAAGAAGGUAAUAAUCCUGUAGUCGAAAAUAUAUACUCUCUUGAGUGGAUCCUGAGUACGACGGAGCACGUGAAAUUCCGUCGGAAUCUGGGAGGACCAUCUCCUAAGGCUAAAUACUCUCUAGUGACCGAUAGUGAACCAGUACCGUGAGGGAAAGGUGAAAAGUACCCCGGAAGGGGAGUGAAAGAGAACUUGAAACCGUGUGCUUACAAGUAGUCAGAGCCCGUUAAUGGGUGAUGGCGUGCCUUUUGUAGAAUGAACCGGCGAGUUACGAUUUGAUGCAAGGUUAAGCAGCUAAUGUGGAGCCGUAGCGAAAGCGAGUCUGAAUAGGGCGUUUAGUAUUUGGUCGUAGACCCGAAACCAGGUGAUCUACCCUUGGUCAGGUUGAAGUUCAGGUAACACUGAAUGGAGGACCGAACCGACUUACGUUGAAAAGUGAGCGGAUGAACUGAGGGUAGCGGAGAAAUUCCAAUCGAACUUGGAGAUAGCUGGUUCUCUCCGAAAUAGCUUUAGGGCUAGCCUCAAGUGAUGAUUAUUGGAGGUAGAGCACUGUUUGGACGAGGGGCCCUUCUCGGGUUACCGAAUUCAGACAAACUCCGAAUGCCAAUUAAUUUAACUUGGGAGUCAGAACAUGGGUGAUAAGGUCCGUGUUCGAAAGGGAAACAGCCCAGACCACCAGCUAAGGUCCCAAAAUAUAUGUUAAGUGGAAAAGGAUGUGGCGUUGCCCAGACAACUAGGAUGUUGGCUUAGAAGCAGCCAUCAUUUAAAGAGUGCGUAAUAGCUCACUAGUCGAGUGACACUGCGCCGAAAAUGUACCGGGGCUAAACAUAUUACCGAAGCUGUGGAUUGUCCGUAGGACAAUGGUAGGAGAGCGUUCUAAGGGCGUCGAAGCAUGAUCGCAAGGACAUGUGGAGCGCUUAGAAGUGAGAAUGCCGGUGUGAGUAGCGAAAGACGGGUGAGAAUCCCGUCCACCGAUUGACUAAGGUUUCCAGAGGAAGGCUCGUCCGCUCUGGGUUAGUCGGGUCCUAAGCUGAGGCCGACAGGCGUAGGCGAUGGAUAACAGGUUGAUAUUCCUGUACCACCUAGUAUCGUUUUAAUCGAUGGGGGGACGCAGUAGGAUAGGCGAAGCGUGCUAUUGGAUUGCACGUCCAAGCAGUAAGACUGAGUGUUAGGCAAAUCCGGCACUCAUAAGGUCAAGCUGUGAUGGGGAGAGGAAAUUGUUUCCUCGAGUCGUUGAUUUCACACUGCCAAGAAAAGCCUCUAGAUAGAUAACAGGUGCCCGUACCGCAAACCGACACAGGUAGUCAAGAUGAGAAUUCUAAGGUGAGCGAGCGAACUCUCGUUAAGGAACUCGGCAAAAUGACCCCGUAACUUCGGGAGAAGGGGUGCUCUUUAGGGUUAACGCCCAGAAGAGCCGCAGUGAAUAGGCCCAAGCGACUGUUUAUCAAAAACACAGGUCUCUGCUAAACCGUAAGGUGAUGUAUAGGGGCUGACGCCUGCCCGGUGCUGGAAGGUUAAGAGGAGUAGUUAGCUUCUGCGAAGCUACGAAUCGAAGCCCCAGUAAACGGCGGCCGUAACUAUAACGGUCCUAAGGUAGCGAAAUUCCUUGUCGGGUAAGUUCCGACCCGCACGAAAGGCGUAACGAUUUGGGCACUGUCUCAACGAGAGACUCGGUGAAAUCAUAGUACCUGUGAAGAUGCAGGUUACCCGCGACAGGACGGAAAGACCCCGUGGAGCUUUACUGUAGCCUGAUAUUGAAAUUCGGCACAGCUUGUACAGGAUAGGUAGGAGCCUUUGAAACGUGAGCGCUAGCUUACGUGGAGGCAUUGGUGGGAUACUACCCUAGCUGUGUUGGCUUUCUAACCCGCACCACUUAUCGUGGUGGGAGACAGUGUCAGGUGGGCAGUUUGACUGGGGCGGUCGCCUCCUAAAAGGUAACGGAGGCGCUCAAAGGUUCCCUCAGAAUGGUUGGAAAUCAUUCAUAGAGUGUAAAGGCAUAAGGGAGCUUGACUGCGAGACUUACAAGUCGAGCAGGGUCGAAAGACGGACUUAGUGAUCCGGUGGUUCCGCAUGGAAGGGCCAUCGCUCAACGGAUAAAAGCUACCCCGGGGAUAACAGGCUUAUCUCCCCCAAGAGUUCACAUCGACGGGGAGGUUUGGCACCUCGAUGUCGGCUCAUCGCAUCCUGGGGCUGUAGUCGGUCCCAAGGGUUGGGCUGUUCGCCCAUUAAAGCGGUACGCGAGCUGGGUUCAGAACGUCGUGAGACAGUUCGGUCCCUAUCCGUCGUGGGCGUAGGAAAUUUGAGAGGAGCUGUCCUUAGUACGAGAGGACCGGGAUGGACAUACCUCUGGUGUACCAGUUGUCGUGCCAACGGCAUAGCUGGGUAGCUAUGUAUGGACGGGAUAAGUGCUGAAAGCAUCUAAGCAUGAAGCCCCCCCUCAAGAUGAGAUUUCCCAACUUCGGUUAUAAGAUCCCUCAAAGAUGAUGAGGUUAAUAGGUUCGAGGUGGAAGCGUGGUGACACGUGGAGCUGACGAAUACUAAUCGAUCGAAGACUUAA